rnacentral:tRNA from 1 species
ACGGGAGUAGCUCAACGGAUAGAGCAGGGGCCUUCGAAGCCCAAGGUUGGGGGUUCGAGCCCCUCCUCCCGUGCCA